rnacentral:rRNA from 1 species
AAUGAACGCUGGCGGCGUGCUUUACACAUGCAAGUUGAGCGAGGCCACCCGCAAGGGUGAGUCGAGCGGCGAACGGGUGAGUAACGCGUGGAUAACCUGCCCUGAGGUGGGGAAUAACCCGGGGAAACUCGGGCUAAUACCGCAUGAUACCUAGCGGUCAAAGGGGGCUCGCAAGAGCUCUUGCCACAGGAGGGGUCCNCGUUCGAUUAGCUAGUUGGUAGGGUAAUGGCCUACCAAGGCGACGAUCGAUAGCCGGCCUGAGAGGGUGAUCGGCCACACUGGAACUGAGACACGGUCCAGACUCCUACGGGAGGCAGCAGUGGGGAAUUUUGCGCAAUGGCUAACGCCUGACGCAGCAACGCCGCGUGGAGGAUGAAGGUCUUUGGAUUGUAAACUCCU